AGUGAACGCUGGCGGCAGGCCUAACACAUGCAAGUCGAGCGGCAGCGCGUCCGACCACCCUCGGGUGGUCGGAUGGCGGCGAGCGGCGGACGGGUGAGGAAUGCAUCGGAAUCUGCCUCGUUGUGGGGGAUAACGUAGGGAAACUUACGCUAAUACCGCAUACGACCUACGGGUGAAAGUGGGGGACCUUCGGGCCUCACGCGAUGAGAUGAGCCGAUGCCGGAUUAGCUAGUUGGCGGGGUAAAGGCCCACCAAGGCGACGAUCCGUAGCUGGUCUGAGAGGAUGAUCAGCCACACUGGAACUGAGAUACGGUCCAGACUCCUACGGGAGGCAGCAGUGGGGAAUAUUGGACAAUGGGGGCAACCCUGAUCCAGCCAUGCCGCGUGUGUGAGAAGGCCUCGGUUGUAAG
rnacentral:rRNA from 1 species